rnacentral:rRNA from 1 species
UACGGAGGAUGCGAGCGUUAUCCGGAUUUAUUGGGUUUAAAGGGUGCGCAGGCGGGAUUGUAAGUCAGCGGUGAAAUCUCCAUGCUCAACGUGGAACUUGCCGUUGAAACUGUGAUUCUUGAGUAUAGAUGAAGUAGGCGGAAUUCGUUGUGUAGCGGUGAAAUGCAUAGAUAUAACGAGGAACUCCAAUUGCGUAGGCAGCUUACUAAGCUAUAACUGACGCUCAUGCACGAGAGCGUGGGUAUCCAACAGG